UACGUAGGGGGCAAGCGUUGUCCGGAAUCAUUGGGCGUAAAGCGCGUGUAGGCGGCUCGAUAAGUCUGCUGUGAAAGUCCAGGGCUCAACCCUGGGAUGCCGGUGGAUACUGUCGAGCUCGAGUCCGGAAGAGGCGAGUGGAAUUCCUGGUGUAGCGGUGAAAUGCGCAGAUAUCAGGAGGAACACCAGUGGCGAAGGCGGUGGUCUGGGCCGGAACUGACGCUGUAGAGCGAAAGCGUGGGGAGCGAACAGG
rnacentral:rRNA from 1 species